rnacentral:lncRNA from 1 species
UAAAACAAGGAUUUGUAGUUAUGAUGGGAAGCAAAGCAAAAGCAAUGGGGUCUGGGCUGACUCCUCUUCUUGCCACUGUUUUAGUGGUGUUUGUUGCUCUUGGCUUGCCCUCAGAAACUGCAGCUGAUGAUCACUACAAGUAUUCAUCUCCUCCUCCUCCUUACACUAUCCCUCACCACCACCUCCAGUGCAUAUACCUCCACCUCAUCCUGUUUACAAGUACAAAUCUCCACCACCCCCACCACCACACCCAGUUUACAAGUAUAAGUCACCACCACCACCUCCUCAUCCGGUACCACACCCAGUUCCUCAUCCGGUGCCACACCCAGUUCCUCAUCCGGUGCCACACCCAGUUUACAAGUAUAAGUCACCACCACCACCUCCUCAUCCGGUACCACACCCAGUUCCUCAUCCGGUACCCACACCCAGUUUACAAGUAUAAGUCACACCACCACCUCCUCAUCCGGUACCACACCCAGUUUACAAGUAUAAGUCACCACCACCACCUCCUCAUCCGGUAUACAAGUAUAAGUCUCUCCGCCACCAACACCCAGUUUACAAGUAUAAGUCACCACCACCACCUCCUCAUCCGGUGCCACACCCAGUUUACCACUACAAGUCACCACCACCACCUCCUCAUCCGGUACCACACCAGUUUACCAUACAAGUCACCACCAAUCCUCACCCAGUUUACAAAUACGAGUCUCCACCACCUCCAGUUUAUAAGUACAAGUCACCACCACCUCCUCCACCAGUUUACAAGUAUAAAUCUCCUCCACCACCACCACCAGUUUACCACUACAAGUCUCCACCACCUCCUCCCCCAGUUUACAAAUACAAGUCUCCACCACCUCCUCACCACUACUAAGCAAUUGCUUCUGAGGUAAUAACACUUGUUCAAUAUACCCACUUCUGCAUGAUAAAGCAUAUCUCUAUCAACACAAACUGUCAUGUCUAUCAUGCUAAGUGCCUUCACUUCAUCCACCAAAAUGACUGCUAGAAAAUUUUUUUUAUGUUACCAAAGAAAGGCAUCAUUUUUUCCCUCUGUUAUCAAGAACUUGUACAG